GUCGAGCGGUAAGGCUCCUUCGGGAGUACACGAGCGGCGAACGGGUGAGUAACACGUGAGCAAUCUGCCCUUCUCUUCGGAAUAACCAUUGGAAACGAUGGCUAAUGCCGAAUAUGACCUCGGAUCACAUGUUCUGAGGUGGAAAGCUCCGGCGGAGAAGGAUGAGCUCGCGGCCUAUCAGCUCGUUGGUGAGGUAAUGGCUCACCAAGGCAUUGACGGGUAGCCGGCCUGAGAGGGUGACCGGCCACACUGGGACUGAGACACGGCCCAGACUCCUACGGGAGGCAGCAGUGGGGAAUAUUGGACAAUGGGCGAAAGCCUGAUCCAGCAACGCCGCGUGAGGGAUGACGGCCUUCGGGUUGUAAACCUCUUUCAGCAGGGACGAAGCGAAAGUGACGGUACCUGCAGAAGAAGGACCGGCCAACUACGUGCCAGCAGCCGCG
rnacentral:rRNA from 1 species